ACUUUCUUAGUAUAAUCAGUACAUCUGACUUCCAAUCAGACAGCUCUGGCCCAAACCUAGAAGAAAGUA
rnacentral:tRNA from 1 species